CCUACGGGUGGCAGCAGUGGGGAAUAUUGCGCAAUGGGCGAAAGCCUGACGCAGCGACGCCGCGUGAGGGAUGAAGGUCCUCGGAUCGUAAACCUCUGUCAGCAGGGAAGAACGGUCACUGUGCUAAUCAGCAGUGAAUUGACGGUAUCUGCAAAGGAAGCACCGGCUAACUCCGUGCCAGCAGCCGCGGUAAUACGGCGGGUGCGAGCGUUAAUCGGAAUGACUGGGCGGAAAGCGCUCGUAGGCGGUAUGUCAAGUCAAGGGUGAAAUCCCCGCGCUCAACGUGGGAACUGCCGUUGAUACUGGCAAACUGGAGUGUGGGAGAGGAUGGUGGAAUUCGAGGUGUAGGGGUGAAAUGCGUAGAUAUCUGGAGGAACAUCAGUGGCGAAGGCGACUAUCUGGCACGUAACUGACGCUGAGGAGCGAAAGCGUGGGUAGCAAACAGGAUUAGAUACCCGUGUAGUC
rnacentral:rRNA from 1 species